GCCAUUCGACACAGCUGCCUGUCUGCCUGUCUGUCUGUAUAUCAGUCUGCCCACCUGCCUGCCCACCAGCCUGUCUGUCUGUCUGUCUGUCUGUCUGUCUGUCUGUCUGUCUGUCUGUCUGUCUGUCUGUCUGUCUGCCUGACUGCCUGUCAGUCUGCCUGCCUGCCUAUGUAUGGGUCUGUCUGCCUGUCUGUCUCUGUAUCAGUCUGCCCACCUGCCUGCCCACCCGCCUGUCUGUCUGUCUGUCUGCCUGAUUACCUGUCUGUCUGUCUGUCUGCCUGCCUGCCGCCUGACUGUAUCAGUCUGUCUGUCUGUCUGUCUGUCUGUCUGUCUGUCUGUCUGUCUGCCCGCCUAUGUAUCAGUCAGUCAGUCAGUCAGUCAGUCAGUCAGUCAGUCAGUCAGUCAGUCUGUCUGUCUGUCUGUCUGUCUGUCUGUCUGUCUGUCUGUCUGUCUCGCUGUCUGCUUUCCUACCUGUCUGUCUAUGUAUCAGUCUGCCUGCCUGCCUGUGUACAGUAUGUAUCAGUCUUUCUGUCUGUCUGUCUGUCUGCCUGACUGCCUACCUGCAUGUGUAUGUAUGAGUCUGUCUGCCUGUCUGUCUAUGUAUCAGUCUGCCCACCUGCCUGCCCACCAGCCUGUCCGCCUGUCUGUCUAUGUAUCAGUCUGCCCACCUGCCUGCCCACCUGCCUGCCUGCCUACCUGCCUGCCUGCCUGCCUGCCUGCCUGCCUGCCUGCCUGUCUGUCUGUCUGUCUGUCUGUCUGUGUAUCAGUCUGCCCUUCCGCCUGUCUGUCUGUGUAUCAGUCUGCCCACCCGUCCGUCUGUCUGUUUGUCUGUCUGCUGCCUGCCUGUCUGUCUGUCUGUCUGUCUGUCUGCCUGUCUAUCUGUCUGUCUGCCUGAUUGCCUGUCUGUCUGCCUGCCUGCCGCCUGACUGUAUCAUUCAGUCAGUCAGUCAGUCAGUCAGUCAGUCAGUCUGUCUGGCUGCCUGCCUGCCUGCCUGUCUGUCUGCCUGCCUGUCUGUCUGUCUGAUUUGUCUGUCUGUCUGUCUGCCUGCCCGCCUGACUGUAUCAGUCUGUCUGUCUGUCUGUCUGUCUGCCUGCCCGCCUAUGUAUCAGUCAGUCAGUCAGUCAGUCAGUCAGUCUGUCUGUCUGUCUGUCUGUCUGUCUGUCUGUCUGUCUGUCUGUCUGUCUGUCUGUCCAUGUAUCAGUCUGCCUGUCUGUCUGCCUGCCUGCCUGUGUAUGUGUGAGUCUGCCUGCCUGCCUAUGUUUGAGUCUGUCUGUCUGUGUAUCAGUCUGCCUGCCUGUCUGUCUGUCUGUCUGUCUGUCUGCCUGUCUGAUUGCCUGUCUGUCUGCCUGCCUGCCCGCCUGACUGUAUCAGUCAGUCAGUCUGUCUGUCUGUAUGCUUUCCUACCUGUCUGUCUAUGUAUCAGUCUACCUGCCUGCCUGUGUACAGUAUGUAUAAGUCUGCCUGCCUGCCCGCCUGCCUGUUUGCCUGCCUGCCGGUCUGUCUGUCUGCCUGCCUGUGUAUGUAUGAGUCUGCCUACCUGCCUAUGUAUGAAUCUGUCCGCCUGUCUGUCUAUGUAUCAGUCUGCCCACCUGCCUGCCCACCUGCCUGUCUUUCUGUCUGUCUGUCUGUCUGUCUGUCUGUCUGUCUGUCUGUCUGUCUGUCUGUCUGUCUGUCUGUCUGUCUUUCUGUCUGUAUGUAUGUUUGUCUGUGUAUCAGUCUGCCCUUCUGCCUGUCUGUCUGUCUGUCUGUCUGUGUAUCAGUCUGCCCACCCGUCCGUCUGUCUGCUGUCUGUCUGUCUGUCUGUCUGUCUGCCUGCCCGCCUGACUGUAUCAGUCAGUCAGUCUGUCUGUCUGUAUGCUUUCCUACCUGUCUGUCUAUGUAUCAGUCUGCCUGCCUGCCUGUGCACAGUAUGUAUUAGUCUACCUGCCUGCCUGCCUUCCUGCCUGUCUGCCUGCCUGCCUGUCUGUCUGUCUGUCUGCCUGCCUGCCCGCCUGACUGUAUCAUUCAGUCAGUCAGUCAUUCAGUCAGUCAGUCAGUCAGUCAGUCAGUCAUUCAGUCAGUCAGUCAGUCAGUCAGUCAGUCAGUCAGUCAGUCUGUCUGUCUGUCUGUCUGUCUGUCUGUCUGUCUGUCUGUCUGGCUGUCUGGCUGCCUGCCUGCCUGCCUGCCUGCCUGCCUGCCUGCCUACCUGCCUGCCUGCCUGCCUGCCUGCAUGUCUGUCUGUCUGAUUGCCUGUCUGUCUGGCUUUGGCUGACUGACGAUAAGCGUAUCGCGUCACUUCCGGUUACUGAGGUUUGCUGCCGCUGUGUGUGUACAGCGUUACUCUCCGCUCGUUUCUAAAUAUUAUCAUUUUAUAUCUGAUAGCGACUGCUAAAAGUUGCAAAACAAGCUUGUAACACUCAAGCAUCUUUUCCUUUCAUUAAACGUCCUGCUAAUUUACACUGUUAUCUAAGUGUUUUCUCCGCUAGCGUAGCUCCUAGCUUACUUUCCUGCUAUGGCUUCCCCCUUUUCCUCUCCCUCUCGCUCUGUUCGGUGCUCGGUGUGUCUUAUGUUUAGCUUAUCCUCUGCCUCCUUUAGUGAUGGUAAUGGUAUCUGUAAUAGGUGUACGCUAGUUGCAGGGUUGGAGGCGAGGUUGUUAGACUUAGAGUCUCGGCUUCGGACUUUAGAAAACAGGCCAGCUAGCCAGGUCCCUUUAGCCGGUGCGGAGCCUCCUAGCUUAGCUGCUACCAGUCCCCCGGCAGGUCCCAGGCAGCUGGGCAACGACUGGGUCACGGCUCGUAAGAAACGUAGCUUUAGGCAGGCGCCCACGGUUCACCACCAACCGCUUCACGUUUCAAACAGAUUUUCCCCACUCAGCGACACACCCGCUGAGAAACCCACUCUGAUCAUUGGUGACUCCAUAGUCCGAAACGUGAAGUUAGAGAAUCCAGCGGUCAUAGUUAGGUGUUUGCCUGGGGCCAGAGCGGGCGACAUUGAGUCUUAUCUUAAGCUCCUGUCUAAGGAUAAGCGUAAGUACGCGAAGAUCGUAAUACACGCAGGAGCUAAUGACGCCCGGUUACGCCAAUCGGAAGUCACUAAAACUAACAUUGAGUCGGUGUGUUCGUUCGCCAAAACAAUGUCGGACUCCGUAGUUUUCUCUGGACCCCUCCCCAAUGUGACCAGCGAUGACAUGUAUAGCCGGCUGUCAUCGCUCCACCGCUGGUUGUCUAGGUGGUGUCCUGCAACCGAUGUGGGCUUUGUGGCUAAUUGGAGCACUUUUUGGGGAAAACCUGGGCUGAUUAGAAGAGACGGCGCCCAUCCCACGUUGAACGGAGCCUCUCUGCUCUCUAGUAACAUGGCCAUGUUGCUUAGUCCCCCCACUCCGUGACAACUCAGAGUGGAGCCCAGGACGCAGAGUCGCAGUCUUACACGCCUCUCUGCAUGUUCUCUACAGCCGCGACCCACUCUUAGUCUUAGUUAUCGCAUAGAGACUGUGUCUGCUUCUCGACCACCUAAACUAUACAAGUCACAAACAAAUCAAAGAGGAGAGACUUACCAGAAAUUAAUAAACAUCAAAACAGUUCCUUUUACAGAACAAAGUAACAGUAAGCUAAUAAAGUGUGGUUUAUUAAAUAUCAGAUCUCUCUCAUCUAAAUCCUUUUUCAUAAAUGACUUGAUAAGUGACCAUCACAUAGAUCUGUUCUGUCUCACUGAAACCUGGCUGCAGCAGGAUGAAUAUGUUACUUUAAAUGAGUCGACUCCAAUGAGUCACAUCAACUAUCAUGUUCCAAGAUGUACAGGUAGAGGUGGAGGAGUAGCAGCAGUUUAUAAAUCAGAUUUAUUAAUUACUCCUAAACCUAAACAUAGUUAUAACUCAUUUGAGAGCCUCACUCUGAGCCUUUCUCACCCAGACUCUAAAACUCAGAAACCAGUUGUGUUUUGUAUUGUUUACCGUCCUCCUGCUCCAUAUUCAGAGUUCUUAACUGAAUUCUCUGAAUUCUUAUCUGACUUAGUUCUUAGCACAGAUAAAGUCAUUGUAGUGGGAGACUUUAACAUUCAUGUAGAUGUUGACAGCAACUGUCUCAGCACUGCUUUUAACUCCUUAAUAGACACUAUUGGUUUUACACAGCAGGUAAAUGAACCCACUCAUCGUUUUAACCACACCCUAGAUCUUGUCCUGACAUAUGGGGUUGAAAUUGAUAAUUUAAUAGUUCUUCCCCCAAACCCUCUGUUAUCUGACUAUUUCUUAUUAACUUUUGAAUUUAGCACAACUGACCCUAUAACAGCUGGAAAGAAAUGUUACUAUAGCAGAUGUUUAUCUGACAACGCUGUUGCCAGAUUCAAGCAGAUGAUUCCAUCAUCUUUUGCCUCAAUGUCUUGUAGAUACACAGAGAACAGUCACCUUAAUCCUUAUGAACAGGUUGAAUGUCUUGUAGAUGAUGCUGCAGCUUCUCUACGUACAAUGUUAGACACAGUGGCUCCUCUGAAGAAGAAGACAGUGAAUCAGAGGAGGUUAGCUCCGUGGUAUAACUCAGACAUCCGCAGCCUAAAGCAAAGGACUAGACAACUAGAAAGACAGUGGCGUUCCAACAAAAUAAAUGUAAACUGCAUUGCAUGGAAGGACAGUCUAAUGAAAUAUAAAAAAGCACUUUGUGCUGCUAGAAAAACAUAUUAUUCCUCCCUAAUUGAGGAAAACAAAAACAACCUCAGGUUUCUUUUCAGCACUGUAGCCAGGCUGACAAAGAGUCAUAGCUGUAUUGAGUCUACUAUCCCCUUAAAUCUCAGCAGCAAUGACUUUAUGAACUACUUUACUAAUAAAAUUUUCAUCAUUAGAAAAAACAUUCAGCAGCGACUUCUUCCAAAUGACAGAAAGCACUGUCUAGAUCCAUCAACUUUAAAUUUAUUAAAUCCUCUGUCUUACCUAGACAGCUUCUUCCCCAUAUCUUAUAUGGAGUUAGCCUCAAUAAUUAACUCUUCCAAGUCGUCCACUUGUCUUUUAGAUCCAAUCCCAACCAGAUUACUCAAAGAAGUUCUACCUUUAAUCAGCUCAUCCAUAUUAAAUCAAAUCAACCAAUCUUUACAACUAGGCUAUGUACCACAGGCUUUUAAGGUGGCUGUGGUCAAACCUCUAUUGAAAAAACCAACCCUUGACCCUGGACAACUAGCCAACUAUAGGCCCAUUUCAAAUUUACCCUUUAUUUCCAACAUUCUGGAAAAAAUCGUGGCUAAACAAUUAUCUGACCACCUUAGUGGGAAUAACCUGUAUGAAGAUUUUCAGUCAGGAUUUAGAAAACAUCAUAGCACAGAAACAGCUCUGGUUAGAGUCACUAAUGAUCUUCUAUUAGCUUCGGACAAUGGUCUAGUUUCUGUCCUUGUCCUGUUAGAUCUUAGUGCUGCAUUUGAUACAAUUGAUCAUAACAUUCUAUUACAGACACUAGAACAUAAAAUCGGGAUUAAUGGAACAGCAUUGGGAUGGUUUAAAUCCUAUUUGUUGAACAGAUUCCAGUUUGUUCAUGUUAAUGAUAAAUUCUCCACACGCACAAGGAUUAGCUAUGGAGUUCCACAGGGUUCUGUGCUGGGUCCAAUUCUGUUUAGCCUGUAUAUGUCUCCUCUAGGUGAGAUUAUUAGAAAGCAUUCUAUUAAUUUUCAUUUUUACGCAGAUGAUACUCAGCUAUACAUGUCCUUGGAACCAAAUGAAACAGAUCAACUAGUCAAAAUUCAGGGUUGUUUAAAAGACAUCAAAUCCUGGAUGUCCCAAAACUUCCUUCAACUAAACUCAGAAAAAACCGAGAUUCUUAUUGUUGGGCCUAAAAAUCUGAAAGAGACACUAUUGAGUCAGAUAGCCACCCUGGAUGGCAUAACAUUAGCUUCAGAUUCUACUGUGAGGAACCUUGGUGUCAUGUUUGACCAGGAUCUCUCUUUUACAUCAUACAUUAAACAAAUCUCCAGAACCGCCUACUUCCACCUUAGAAAUAUAGUUAAAAUCAGAAGCAUCCUCUCUCAGAGCGAUGCAGAGAAACUGAUCCAUGCAUUUGUUACCUCUAGGCUGGACUACUGUAACUCUUUACUCAUAGGAUGUCCUAACAGCUCCUUAAAAAGCCUACAGCUCAUUCAAAAUGCUGCAGCCAGAGUUCUGACAGGACUUAGAAAGAGAGAUCACAUUUCUCCUACAUUAGCUUCUCUGCACUGGCUGCCUGUAAAAUGUAGGAUAGAAUUUAAAAUUCUCCUACUCACAUACAAAGUACUCAAUGAUAAAGCUCCUUCUUAUCUUAAAGACCUUAUAGUUCCUUAUGCUCCCAGCAGAACACUUCGUUCUCAGAGCGCUGGGCUACUUGUGGUUCCUAGAGUGUUUAAAUGUAGAACAGGGGACAGAGCUUUUAGCUACCAAGCUCCUCUCCUCUGGAACCAGCUCCCUCUUCAGGUUCGAGAAGCUGACACACUCUCCACCUUUAAGAUUAGGCUUAAAACCUUCCUUUUUGAUAAAGCUUAUAGUUAGAGAUAGUUCAGGUCACUGGCAAUUAUUGUUAGUCACAGGAACCAUCUCUUAAUUAAGCUGCAAUAGACAUAGACUGCUGGGGGACUUAAUUUAUACACUGAGCUCCUCUGUUUCCUUCUACCUCCUCUGUCCCAUAACCUCCCAUCAUUGUCCCAUGUUUAACUAACCUUGUCUCUUUCUGUCCAGUAGUUGUGCUUCUCUCCUCCCCACUCUUUCUCCCUCUCUGUCCUCACCUACAGGUAUCAUUGGACUCAAAGUUUGGUGUCUGUGAUGGGCAGCUGCAGAUCCAACCAUCCUGCCUGCAUCCAGUCCCUGGUCCUACCAUCCUGCCUGUGCUCUGUUGUUGCUUGUUGUUGCUUGUUGUUGUUGCUGUGCUUUUCUAUCUCUCUAUCCUCUCACCCCAACCGGUCGAGGCAGAUGGCCGCCCACAUCCAGUCUGGUUCUGCUGGAGGUUUCUUCCUCGUUAGAGAGGGAGUUUUUCCUCUCCACUGUUGCUGUCAAAUUAAAUGAUUGCUGUAUGUGGGAUUUGUUGGGUUUCGUUGUGAGGUUUUAAACCUUACUUUGUAAAGUGCCUUGAAACAACUUUGUUGUGAUUUGGCGCUAUAUAAAUAAAAUUGAAUUGAACUGAAUUGUCUGCCUGCCUGCCCGCCUGACUGUAUCAGUCUGUCUGUCUGCCUGUCUGUCUGUCUGCCUGUCUGUCUGUCUGUCUGUCUGUCUGUCUGUCUGUCUGUCUGCCUGCCUGCCCACCUAUGUAUCAGUUAGUCAGUCAGUCUGUCUGUCUGUCCAUGUAUCAGUCUGCCUGUCUGUCUGCCUGCCUCUCUGCCUGCCUGCCUGUGUAUGUAUGAGUCUGCCUGCCUGCCUAUGUUUGAGUCUGUCUGUCUGUCUGUCUGUGUAUCAGUCUGCCUGCCUGCCUGUGUACAGUAUGUAACAGUCUGCCUGCCUGUCUGGCUGCCUGUCUGGCUGCCUGCCUGUCUGUCUGGCUGUCUGUCUGGCUCCCUGUUUGUCCGCCUGCUGCGUUUGAUCCUUAUUUGUGUUAAGAUCUUGCUACAGACUUGUUGUUUAAAGACAGGAAACGUCUGUGACUCCUUCUCAGACAUCGUUGCUUCCUCAGAAGCUCACCUUCUUCUCUCUGUUUCCUGUCUGACGUGUUGCCGUAACGACCAGGCGCUGUGUCACUGACUGGACUCUACCUGGUGUACGGAUACGGUGCCUCCCUCCUCUGCAACCUCAUCGGUUUUGUCUACCCAGCGUAUUAUUCACAGAACCGAUAGAACAGGAAGCUGGAUCCCUUAGGCUCAGCUCAGCAGCGAACAGCAGGUAGAAAUCAUGAGAAGACAGCUGAGCAGAGGAUAACAGGACUAGAGAGGAAAUAGAAUUAAAGCCAUUGAAAGUCCAAGUAAGGAAGAUGACACCAAAUGGCUGACCUACUGGGUGGUGUACGGCGUCUUCAGUCUGGGCGAGUUCUUCUCUGACAUUUUCCUCUACUGGUUUCCCUUCUACUACGCGUUCAA